AAAAGGCUACAGGUAGAAAGCAAAGGGAGGUUAUUUGCUGCCGAACCUCUCUGUCCGGUGCGGGGGAGAUGUCGGGACCAGAGAGCGAUCGCUAAGAGGGACAUCGGAGACCCACACAGGUGAAGAUCCUCACUGCAGUGACUACAGACACUGGUUCUGGCAGCAGACUCACCUGGCCCAGCACCAUUUGGCACAUAUGGGCCAGCAGUCGUUCCCCUGCUCCCACCCUGGCUGCCACUACAGCUGCAGCUCCAACCUCCUCCUCCACCAGCGACUCCACAUGCCUGGCCAAGCACCCAUGGGGGCUGCAAUGGGAGAUACACAGUGCACUUGAACCAAAGAAGAGAAAAUACAUGGAAGAAAGAGAAAACUGUUCCUGUGGGAGAGGCAGGAAAAGCACCAGCACAGUUGUGGAAGAAGGGAGUGAUGGUAGAGGAAAGCCCUCAGGCCACCAGCCCUUCUCCAGAGGGUAAAAAGAGGCUGAGGGCCUCUUGCUUCUCCCUCAAAGCCCCUGGUUUUAUGUCUCAGCCACGUGUGUUGCUCCUCCAGGGACGUUUUCCUUCCUGCUUUGAAACCAUUUCACCCACUUAAACCCCUGAGACUGCAGAGCUUUGAGUCCUGGAGGGAGAAAUCCCCUCCUCCAGGGGGGUGGUUGUAUCUGAGGGUCUUGGUUCACUGUUGGAAGGGACAGGGCAGGGGUGGAAGCUUUGUGAGGGAGUUUGAAAGGGGAAGGUCGAGAUCUAAGAGCAGAGAGAGGUGAUUCCAUCCCUCUCAGAGGCCAGAAUGCCACAAGUAGAGGUGGGACAAGGGGUCUUUACAAACACAGGGAGAAAUUCCAGGGGAUACAAAGCUCAAUGAAGAGAAACUGCAACAUCUUUAGCCAGAAGGGCUGAACUAAGGCCUGAGCUGCUUCUGCAGGGGGUGGAGAAUGGAAGUCUCUGCCCUCUCAACCUGGAAGUUAUCACAGCAGCCAGGUCCCAGGCCUGAAAGAAACAGAGUUCCUGACUCUAGGAGGAUUUCAGACCUUUAACAACCAGCAGCACAUGGCUGGGGACACCCAGAGACUCCUCCAGUGAUCUCCACACCUCAUGGAAGGGAGUGUGUGGGAAAGCCCCAGAGUGCUCUGGGUGAGACCUUAUUGCAAGGCCUUGAUUUAAUAUCCCUGGUCUUGUUCUCACCUCACCUGACCUCAUCUCACCUGACCUCAUCUCACCUGACCUCACCUCAUCUCAUCUCAUCUCACCUGACCUCAUCUCAUCUCACCUGACCUCACCUCAUCUCAUCUCAUCUCAUCUCACCUCAUCUGACCUCACCUCAUCUCAUCCUCACCUCACCUCAUCUGACCUCAUCUCACCUGACCUCAUCUCAUCUCAUCUGACCUCACCUCAUCUCAUCUCAUCUCAUCUCAUCUCACCUGACCUCACCUCAUCUCAUCUCAUCUCACCUGACCUCAUCUCAUCUCACCUGACCUCAUCUCAUCUCACCUGACCUCAUCUCAUCUCAUCUCACCUGACCUCACCUCAUCUCAUCUCAUCUCAUCUCACCUGACCUCACCUCAUCUCAUCUCACCUCAUCUGACCUCACCUCAUCUCAUCCUCACCUCACCUCAUCUGACCUCAUCUCACCUGACCUCAUCUCACCUCAUCUCAUCUCAUCCUCACCUCACCUCAUUUCACCUGACCUCAUCUCAUCUCGACCUCAUCUCACCUGACCUCACCUCAUCUCAUCUCAUCUGACCUCAUCUCAUCUCAUCUCAUCUCAUCUCAUCCUCAUCUCAUCUCACCUGACCUCACCUCAUCUCAUCUGACCUCAUCUCAUCUCAUCUCAUCCUCACCUCAUCUCAUCUGACCUCAUCUCAUCCUCACCUCACCUCAUCUCAUCUCACCUGACCUCAUCUCAUCUCAGCUCAUCUCACCUCAUCUCAUCUCAUCUGACCUCAUCUCAUCUCAUCUCACCUCAUCUCAUCUCACCUGACCUCAUCUCAUCUCAUCUCAUCUCACCUGACCUCAUCUCAUCUCAUCUCAUCUCAUCUCAUCUCACCUCAUCUCACCUGAGCUCAUCUCAUCUCAUCUCAUCUCAUCUCAUCUCAUCUCAUCUCAUCUCAUCUCAUCUCAUCUCACCUCAUCUCAUCUGACCUCAUCUCAUCUCAUCUCAUCCUCACCUCACCUGACUUCAUCUCAUCUCACCUCAUCUCAUCUCAUCUCACCUCAUCUCACCUGAGCUCAUCUCAUCUCACCUGACUUCAUCUCAUCUCAUCUCACCUCAUCUCAUCUCACCUCAUCUCAUCUCACCUCAUCUCAUCCUCACCUCACCUCAUCCUCACCUCACCUCAUCUCAUCCUCACCUCACCUCACCUCAUCUCACCUCAUCUCAUCUCACCUCAUCUCAUCUCACCUCAUCUCAUCUCAUCUCACCUCAUCUCAUCUCACCUCAUCUCACCUCAUCUCAUCCUCACCUCACCUCACCUCAUCUCAUCUCACCUCACCUGACCUCAUCUCAUCUCAUCCUCAUCUCAUCUCACCUGACCUCAUCUCAUCUCAUCCUCAUCUCAUCCUCACCUCAUCUCAUCUGACCUCAUCUCAUCCUCACCUCACCUCAUCUCACCUCACCUGACCUCAUCUCAUCUCAUCCUCAUCUCAUCCUCAUCUCAUCUCACCUCACCUCAUCUCACCUCAUCUCAUCUCAUCUCACCUCACCUCAUCUCAUCUCACCUGACCUCAUCUCAUCUCAUCUCAUCUCAUCUCAUCUCAUCCUCAUCUCAUCUCACCUGACCUCAUCUCAUCUCAUCCUCACCUCAUCUCAUCUCACCUGACCUCAUCUCAUCUCACCUCAUCUCAUCUCACCUCAUCUCACCUGACCUCAUCUCAUCUCACCUCAUCUCAUCUCAUCUCACCUCAUCUCACCUCAUCUCACCUCACCUCAUCUCACCUCAUCUCACCUCAUCUCAUCUCAUCCUCACCUCAAGCAAUUAAAACAAACAAAGGUGAAGCUGUUGACAUCUUCCCAGUCAGAGCAAAGGGUUAAACCAGGGUCACCUCCUGCCUUGCUGCCACAUUUCCCCAGGUGAACAGGUCCUGCCAUCCAUCCCUCGUGGCUGCUGCCUGACAGACACCCCCAGAGAGCUCCAGCACCUCAGAACUCCUCGCUGCAAGAUGCUCCUCAGGGCCCUCAGAAGGAACCAGAGCUAUGAGGCUGAGGAAAUCCUGCCAGGAGAUGGGGCUGUGCCCACUCCAAACCCCCCUGGAACUCAUCUUGAACCCUGCCCUUUCUUGCCCCACAUCACUCCUGUGAUCUCCUCCUCAGGUUCUCCUCCUUUAGGUGCUACAAAACCCACUCCUUCAAGGAGGGAAGCAGCAGUCUGCUCUGGGCAUGGAGUGGGGGGUGAAUGCUGCCCUGGGCAGGGCUUGGAGUGUGUUGGGAGUGAUUGGAAUGAACAAUUAACUAAGAUAAUGAAAA